rnacentral:rRNA from 1 species
UGAUCCAGCACGCCGCGUGGAGGAAGAGGCCUUCGGGUCGUAAACUCCUGUCGUGUGGGACGAAACGCGAGGGUCAAUAUCCCUCGCGGUUGACGGUACCUCCACAGGAAGCCCCGGCUAACUCCGUGCCAGCAGCCGCGGUAAUACGGAGGGGGCGAGCGUUAUUCGGAAUUAUUGGGCGUAAAGGGCGCGCAGGCGGCCUGGCAAGUCUGGGGUGAAAUCCCUCGGCUCAACCGAGGAAUUGCCUUGGAUACUGGCGGGCUCGAGUGCGGGAGGGGAUAGUGGAAUUCCCAGUGUAGCGGUGAAAUGCGUAGAUAUUGGGAGGAACACCAGUGGCGAAGGCGGCUAUCUGGACCGGUUCUGACGCUGAGGCGCGAAAGCGUGGGUAGCAAACAGGAUUAGAUACCCUGGUAGUCCACGCUGUAAACGAUGAGUGCUCGGUGCUGCGGGUAUCGACCCCUGCAGUGCCUUAGCUAACGCGUUAAGCACUCCGCCUGGGGAGUACGGUCGCCAAGGCUGAAACUCAAG